AACGAACGCUGGCGGCAUGCCUAACACAUGCAAGUCGAACGAGACCUUCGGGUCUAGUGGCGCACGGGUGCGUAACGCGUGGGAACCUGCCCUUAGGUUCGGAAUAACUCCCCGAAAGGGGUGCUAAUACCGGAUAAUGUCUUCGGACCAAAGAUUUAUCGCCUUUGGAUGGGCCCGCGUUGGAUUAGCUAGUUGGUAGGGUAAAAGCCUACCAAGGCGACGAUCCAUAGCUGGUCUGAGAGGAUGAUCAGCCACACUGGGACUGAGACACGGCCCAGACUCCAAGGGAGGGCGGCAGUGGGAAUAUUGGACAAUGGGCGAAAGCCUGAUCCAGCAAUGCCGCGUGAGUGAUGAAGGCCUUAGGGUUGUAAAGCUCUUUUACCCGGGAUGAUAAUGACAGUACCGGGAGAAUAAGCUCCGGCUAACUCCGUG
rnacentral:rRNA from 1 species